AGGGAAGAAGAAAAGACAGCACCGUUUGAACAGAAUUCUGGUGGCUCUCCGAUGACAGGAAGAGCAACAAACAACUCCAGGGAGAAUUUGACAAGCGGUCCCUCUGGUGCAACAAAGUAGUUCAGUCCAAAAGUGCAGAUGACGACAAUGACGAUGACAACGACGAUGAUGAUGACAUUGACGACAACGACUACAGAUGACAAGAGCCAAAGGAAAGUGAUGGAUUUCAGAAGAGACGGUUCAGCUCUGCACAAUAAAUGUUGCCACAGUGUAACUCUUCUUACUUUGUGGGGUUUAGCAGACUUUUUUCCCCCUGCCCAGUCCUCAGAAAGGAGCAAACUGGCAUUUGUUUGAGCCCUGACUGAGGUGUAGAAAAUCUGUCAAGUUUUCUCUGCCUCUCACCCUGACCACAAUUAUACGGUGCACGUGCAGAUUAGCUGCAAAGUCACUCUUACCCCAGGAGUGACAACACUUCCCCCAAAUAAAAAGUUACGUACUGUAUCCUAGAGUGGCCGUCUGUGGUAUAAAGGCAAGGAGGGGGUCCUGGGCAGGGGGAGAAGAAAUGCCUUCAAAAGAAGCACAUAACAACGGAAAAAGUAGCUGAAACAGAGUGGCGACAAGGCAGUAACAGAGAGCUGCAUUGUCAUGAGCUGAGUAAUCCUAUGACACACUGCUGUCACUCACCACGAGGCUCCCUGCUGAGCCCGCUAGACAUCAAAGACCGCCCCAUACCAUCUUACAUGCUCUUUAUCAGCUAAUCAGCCUAUUCUUCCCUAAAUAAAGCCCUCUUAAAUCCCCUGCUCACAGGGGUAUACCAGUCCUGUUGCCCAUCUGCUUGUGAGGGUCAACUGAAGCAGGAGGCAGCGGAUUGUUCUCUCCCUGGUGGCUUCUCAAGGGUAUUUUCAAGUGUCCCCAUUUUAAAGAUGGAAAAAUGGAGUUCAGAGUUAUAAAUGUUUGUCCAAGAGCCACCCAGCUUGGGAGCAUGUUUCCCCCUUGAACUCAGAUGCUUAAUCACACAUUCAAAAUCAAUGAAGCUGGAGACAUUGCUGCAGAUCUGAAAUGAACUGACCCCCCAAAUCCCCAGCCCUAACUCUGAUGCGUGGCGGUUUAGCAUCCUUGGCACACAGAUGAACAUCUGGGUUGAGGAAACCUGAGGGGGUUCACCUUUUCUCCCCUAGGAGAGGUCUUAGUUCUCUUGCAAGGCAAUCAUAUAAUAAUGCAAAUUGUCAGACCUGACCAGGACAAUUGGUGAGUGGUAGCAGGUGCCUGCUCCCUCUCUACCUCUGGCCUUCACUGCUACUUUGAGAGAAACAGAGCUGCCACAGCAUGGUCCAUAUUCCCACUGUUGCACUGGAAUGGAGAAGCUGACUGGCAGAGAAAACGUUUAUAAAGUAUCUGUGCUUAGGAUUUAAAGGACCCUCUUCAUAGGACCAUAAUCCCUUUAUUUUACAGGUGAGGAAACUAAGGUUUGUCAGAGAGGUUAAGUAAUUUCCCAAGGUCAUGAGGCAGUAAGUGAUAGAAACAGGAGUGGAAUUCAGUUGUGAAUAUGUUACUGUAACAACAUAAAUGCACAUGUAAUGUAUUAAUAUUCCUAUGAGAAUAUGUUAAUAUAAUUUAAAAUAAAGUAUUCAAGGAA